AACACUAUGAUGUAUGCCAGAAAUUGACACACUAUACUUCAAUUUAAAAAAAGAAAAAGAAAAAUGGAACCAACCAGGAAAAAAAAAGGAAUGAAAUGAGCUGGAGACAAAGCCUGCAGGCAGCCAGGGGCCUGCCCUGCUGUAGCAGCUGAGGCUUGUUGGUCCCAAUAGCUGUUCUCUCCUGUUCCAUGGGAUAUUUAGCUAAGAACAUGGCCACUCAGAAUAAAGACUACAUUUCCCAGCAUUUCUUAUAGUAAAUAUGGCCAUGUGACGAAGAUCUAGUCAAUAGGUAAGUGCCACUUCGGGGCCUUUUUUUUUUUUUUAAAGGGAAGGGAUAUACCUUUCUCCUUUUCUUGUCCUCCUUGAUGUCUGGAAUGUGGGUUUAAUGGCUAGAACUGGAGCAGCCAUUUUGGACCAUGAGGUAGUCUUGGGUCAGAAGCAAUAUAUAGAAGAGCAACAAGGCAGAAGAAUACUAUGUGUUCUUGACCCCAUGGAGCUGCUAUGCUGGCAGUAUAGGCCCCCUACCUCUGGAUAGUUCUAUGAAAAGAAAGAGGUUUGUAUUUUGCUUAAGCCAUUUGCUAUUUUGGAUUUCUCUGGUACUAACAGUCAAACCUAAUAUUACAGUAUUUUUAAGGUGCAAAUCCAGCCUUCAAGAAACACGCCUAGAGCCCCCAGCUCUAAACCAAUCUCUCCUUCGCAUGCCCCGCCAUUGUAACAUUGGUCAUUAUGGAUAGGGAAGCACAGAUAGGACUUUCAAAGUCCUUUCACAUGCAUUUUUAAACAUUCAUUUCCUGUUUUCCACACAACAAAGUUUUGUAGGUAUUAUUGCCAGCAUCCCGCAGGUAAGGAAGUGGCGGCUCAGAGGCGUAAAUGGUGUUCUGGUUUGGCAACACUCUUCAGCUUUAUAUAAAUUAUUGAUGCCAGUGUCCAUCUCCCCUCCUGCCUGUGAUCUUCUCUGGCCUAGCGGGAGCUGAUUCAACUCUGAUUCCCUCCGGGGCUGGUGCUGAGGGCCCCACCCACAGCAGGUGCUCUGUCAAUUUGUGCCAAAUUGAUUUCCUGUAAGUGCAGCAAGUUCUCCAUCUGAGGAUAUUGAUUUCCUCUAAACUGCAUUUCUCUGUUUGACAUUCUCCAAGAAAGGGAGAAAAACUCAAAGGAGAGAAAAAAGCUUGGUCCUUUUGGGUGAGUCUUUGGCUGCAGAGGGCCGGGUGGCCAGGGCUUGGCAGUUCAUAAAGGGGCCUGCUCUAGGGUGUCACAGGACCCAGAGCAAACUACCAGGGAGCCAGAGCUGGGGCUGAGAGAGGAAAGUGUGGUGAGGGGGGGCCUCUGAAGCUGGGGCCUCGGCAAGGGUGGGGAGGCAAAGAAAGGAGCUGGUUUCAUAGCCAGUUGGCUUUUGCAAGUAUUAUUUCAUGGGACCUCACAGCUCUGGGGGACUGGAGAGCAAACAUGGUGGGGGAUACACGCCUCACCCUCAACUUCAGUCCUGCUAUCUUCCCAAAUGCUUCUAAGUAUGAGUAUGGAGGGAUGUGAAAAUGCUUGAAACACGGGCCACGCCACAAAUGAAAAAGAGAAAGGCUUGCCUAUUAAUUUUUGUUUGUUUGUUAACUUCAGCCCACAACUUCCUCAAAGACAACUCCCAGGACUGCGGCAUCAAAAUGCUUUUGCACAUGAACUUUUUUCUUCGGUUUCUCCUUUAUGGUGUUUCAGCAGGAUUAUUGCAAACGCACUCACUCCACUAGACUCCCCGCCCCCAGCCCUCCCCACUUGAAAGAGCCUUCCCCUCUGCAGCCAGAGGGCCCUUUCUGAAACUCCAACUGGGCCUUCACUCCCCUCCAUCGAACUCUUUUCCGUGGCUCUCCAGUACUCAGAGCAGGCUCUCAGCCCAAACUACACAGCAGAAUCACCUGGGAACUUUAAAAAUACAUUGACGCUCAUGCCCCAAUGAGAUCAAUUAAAUCAGAAUGGGAGGGUGGGAGGCAGACUUUAAUUAUUUUUAAAAGCUCCAGGUAAUUCAAAUAUAGAGCCACUGGUCUGAAGGGUAAAGAGAGAGAAAGCUCCUCUUUAUAGUAAAAUGCCAGCUAAUAAACUCAGAAGGAAUUAGAGAAAAUACCAUUUGCAACCACUGUUAGAAUAAUUCACGCAAGCAAGUCAUCGGAUGCAAAAACCCUUGGAUAAGAGACUAUUUGGGUACAGAAUAUCACACAGUCCCCAAGUAAUCCCCCAUCCGCAGAGUGUGAGGGGGUUGUAACAGUCGUGCUCAGCACGUGGUCCCCGGGGCAGCAGCAGCACCACCUGGAGCAAAUUCUCUGGCCCACUCCGGACCUGACGAAUCAGAAACUCCAGAGCUCCAAUUCCAGAAAUGCUUUAAAACCCUCCAGGUGAUUCGAGUUUGAGAACCACUGCUCUCGAGGACUUCUGGGUUGGGCACCACGAUGGGCUGCUCAGACCCCCUUUAGAAGAAAGGAUUCAUCCCUGUUGCUGAGAGCACAGCCAGAAGACGCCUCCACUCUCUUCCCCGUGCGGCUGGGCCGGGCUGAAGAGACCUGCUGGCAGCGAGGGCUCACCCACCUCUCGGUGUCCCACAGUAGGUGUGGAUCCUACCAGCUCCCUCCAGUACACACCCCGUUUGCUGAUCUUCAUCCCGAGCACACUUCCCAGAGAGCCUAGCCUUGAGCAGCAGCCUUGGAGGGCUCGCUCUGGCCCUGAGUUGUCUUCAGCAGAGCCGUCUUCAUUCUCUGCCUGUAUCGCUCACUCACUGUGUGCAGAGCCUGGUGCUGAGAACUCCAGGUGCCUUAUUCUGUUCAGUUUUCAAGGCCACCCCGGGAUCUCCGUCUCACAGAUAGAAAACAGAGGCCCGGAGGGGUGAAUUAACAUACCAGUGUCACAGAGAAACAGCUGGGAUGAGAACCCAGCCCUCCAGCAUUUCAAGGAGCCCGGAAAAUGGUAAGAGGUAUUUCCUGACGUUCUUGAGCAAGAUGGGGUGGGGGUGAGUGCUUGUGAGUAAACGUGCCCAGUGUUGCUUCUCCAGGGGAAUCGGGUACAUGCCACCCCGCUGCCAUUCAUACCUCUCAUUGGGGAGUCCCAGGUUAUGCUGCACCCUUCAUAUUCUGUUGCACCAGCGUCUGCCUUAGUUUUGUUUGUUUUAUCAGCCAUUUCUGUAUGAUCUGAGCUGUGUUCCUAGCUCUUCCCUCAGCCUAGCUGCGGCAGAGGCUCCAUGGAAAUAAGAAGUGUGUCAGUGAGGAGUGUGCUGUCAACCCCCAGCACUGGGGUGCGGUGGGCAGAGAACGGGCAGGGGACAGCUUGACAAUAAGGCCAUAUACAAGCAUAAAAGGAUAAAAAGUACCCUCUUCCCUCUGCAUGAAAGGCUUUCCUUCUCUUAGCAAUAUCGGUGGAGAUAUCUCACUUCUAAAGCAAGCCGUUUGUUCUCCAUGCUUGGACGAGACUGAGCAGGUUGGUGAUACUUUUCAGCUAAGAACAGACAACUGGCAGCUAAAGUCAGCCCUUCCUCAUGUUGCUCUGCUCUUUGUGCCCUGGGAAUGUGGUCUUUAGGCUCCAGUGACUGGCAGAAAGCGGGGAGGGGCCUUCCAGCCAGCCGGCCACACAGCCAACCCACCCACCAGCCACCUACCCAUUCAUCCAUCUGUAUAUCUCACGGGAACACGCGAAGAAUUGUAGAAGCAGUGAUGUACUGGUAUAUGUUUAACCACUGGCAAUCUGUGGGGAAAAGCCCAGCUUUGUGGUGGUUGCCAGUUUCUCGGGGUCUAAAUAUUCCCACUGUGGUUUAAUUCAAGCUACCAACAUGAUGUCACCAAUGCAGAGUCAAGAAAGAUGCCCAGUAGCGUGCUUUUGGAUGGUAUUUCCACCGUACAGAUACAGAUAACCUCAACAGCAUAAAGAACUGUAAAAUGGUGUCAUAUAAUUAGGAAGUGAUAAGUUUUGAGUAUUGGUUAUUUUUGCUUUUAAGAUAAUUUAAUUGAAAGUUUAUAGUUUAAUCUUUAAUGAUGGUUAUAUUUAACAACCUAAAAGGUGGUUCUAAUGCAUGGUGUACAUGCGUGGCAUGGGGGCCUGGGGGCCCCCACACCAAAAAACAAUUCUCCAGACACCACCUGGGUGUUUUAACUCAAUUCCGACACUCUACUCAGAGGUAGCAUCAGAUCCCCCAGGUUAAGGGCUCAGUCUCACAAGAAUGCCCCUCCUCAACUUUAGAUGCCAGUCACAAAUCCAGAUUGUCACCUGUGCUUGUGACCAACCAGCUAUAGAUCAGAGGUUCCCAUGACCCCUCUUCUUGGAUUCAGCUAAUUUGCUAGAGCGGUUCAUAGAAUUCAGAGAAACAUUUUACUUGCUAGAGUACCAGUUUAUUAUUAAAGGAUUGUAACUCAGGACCAACCAGAUGGAAGAUGUACUUAGGGCGACCUACGUGGGAAGGGCUCCCAGGCUCUCCCCAGGUGUGCCAUUCUACCUGAAUCUCCACGUGUUCAACCAGAAAGCUCUCCAAACUCCAUCCUUUUGGGGUUUUGUGGAGGCUUCAUAUAUAGGCGUUUGAUUAAAUCAUUGGCCUUUGGUGAUUGAUUCAACCUUCAGCCCCCCUCUUCCCUCCCCAGGGGUAGAAAGAUGGGAGAGGCUGCACUGAAAAUUCCAGCCUCCAAUCAUGGGGUGGUUUCUUCUGGGAACCAGCCCCCGUCCUCAGGUGACCUGGGGGCAUCCCAAAAGUCACCUGAUUAACAUAACGAAAAACACCUUGAUCUCUGCCACUUGAGGGUUUAGAAGCUCUGAGUUAGAAACAGGGCAACGUAUUUCUUAUUACAAAUCACAAUGUUACACAACCAGAUUGCAAAAUCCCUGACAAAUUGACAGUCAGCUCUCUCAAGCUGGUCUGAGCCAGCUCCAGCACAAAUUCGAUUUGGGGCAGAGGGGAGAAAGUUGUUCUCUACUGAGGGUAGGCGAUGAGAUGGGAUUGCUAGUGAUAUGACAGCCAAAGGUUUUAAAUCUAUACUAGGGGGAGAAGGCCAGGCUGAUUUAGCUGAGUCUGAAUUAUACAGUUUAAAAAGCCAUCUUUAAUUCUACUGCAUUCAUAUACCAUAAAGAAUAACUUUCUCCCAACUUUAUUUUCCAGAGCCACAGCAUUCAGCUACCAUUCCCUCCUCCUCCUCUUGGCUCCUCUGGUCCCUUCCCUCUUCUUGUUUCCCACCCAUCCCAGUCCCCAGCACUGAGUGCUAACUGUGCCUCCUCCUCAGAUUAGCAUCUAAAUGUCGGAGUGUUCAUGGCCUGGUCCUGGGCCCUCACAGCCUUGCUGUUUACAUCCUUCCUAAGGAUUUCAAUCAGUCCUGAGACUUUAAACAUCCUCUCUUUGCCAUGAGUUCUUAUUUUUGUCAAAGCAUUGCAUGCAAAUCAUUUCUUAAAGUCAAACGGUGCUAAAAACUUCUCUUAAAAACCUGCAGUAUCUUGUCUACCCUUCCUCGUAAGUCCUCAGAAACUAUAUCUUUCAGUGCCUCUAGCUUCUUCCCACUAUUUCCCUCCAUAUUUCUAAACAAUAUGCAUCUUGCUAGCUUUUGAUGAUCAAUUUUAUAUAAUGUCUGUUAACGUCUGAUAGUAAAUAAGGAUUUAAAGUAUUUGACAUCCCUUUCGCUCUGUCGGCUGAAAAACAAAUGGACAACGUGGAAAUAGUGAGCAAAGUUUUAUUUGGGGCAAAGUGAGGACUAUAGCCCAUGUGACGGCCUCUCAGAUAGCUCUGAGGAGCUGCUCUGAAGAGGUGGGGAGGGAGGUCAGUACUACGUAUGUUUUUGGUGAAGGAGGUACGUGCAAUCAAGCACACAUUUUGGCAGAGAGUUGCUGCUAGUCACGAGGAGCAGAUGUCUCCCUUAAUGACUUUUAGUGCUUAUUUAGUGCUUUAGAUAGGAGAAGAUGCGAGAAAUUGGGCUCAUAAAAUUUUCUCCUGAAAAUAUCUGUCUAAAGUCCUGUUCUGCCAGUUAUUCCCAGAGCACAGAGUGCCUCAUUCCCGAUCUCCACCCUGAACUCCUUUCAGGAUGUGUUGCAAGUCAGCGCCUGCAGUGGCUAGUGACUUCUUUCUUACAGAACCAGAUGGCGAGGGACAGUUUUUAUUUGGCACCUCCCUCCUUAUGUGUGAGUUUUAAGGAAAUCUGUAAUAGUAUCUUAUUUAUAUCAAUAUGUUAAUAUCAUUCACUGUUAGGUCAAAUGAAUGUAUUUUCUUCCUUCGUCAAAUGAAAAUGAUUAACUCCAGGAAAAAAAAAAGUUUUAGUUCUCUUUAUCUGGCUUGAUCUUCCUACACUACCUCAGGCCUAGCAAUACAAUUUUUUGAUCAAAUAAGUCACUGUUAUUUUAUGAGUUCUAUUUUCCCGCCAGACCCCUUGGACCUCCUGUUCCGAAUGAUACUCUGGGCGUGCUGUGCAGCUGGGCUCCCUGCCCCCCUCGGCUGGAUCGGACCCCACCUGCCUGACUCCUGUGCCUUCGCCUUUCUUUGGGGGACGUUUUCCCCCAAAGCUUCCUGUGAGAGAUGCGUGGGAGGCAAAUGUUCUGAUUUUUUGUGUCUGAAAAUGUCUUUGUUCCAUCUUCACACUUGACUGGAAGUUUUUCGGAUUUUUCUCUUUAUCUCUGGCAUUCUUAAAUUUCAUAUUGAUUGCAGUGAUAUGGGCUUUCUUGCAGUGUAUGGACAGGGCAUUAUGUCCUCCGGUUCUGGGAAAUUAUUUCUUCUAUUUUCUUACGUGUCUUAUUUAUUUCUUUGGUAAUAUCCUUCCUCCUUCUUUCUCUAGUUUCUUUCUAGAACUCCUAUUGAACCUCUGAAAUGAACUAAUUAAAAAAAAACUUUACUGUUUUCCACCUUUGUCUCCUCCCUCUCCCAUUUUCUGGAGAUGUCCCCAAAAUUUAUCAUCCAACUCUGUUAUUAAAUUUAUUUUGGCUAUCAUUUCUGAUUUCUAAGAGUAUGCUAUGAUCUCUGCCUGUUCCUUUUCUUUAUAGCUUCUAUUUGUGUCUCAUGGAUUCAGUUCCAUCUCAUCUUUCUGAGGACAUCAUUUAUUUUGACAUCUUCUUUAUCUGGGUAUUAUCUGCUGCUUCUGGGUGCCUUUUUCUGAUUGUUUUGAUAUAAAGUUCUGUGUCGGAGGCUCUCCUCAAAUAUUUGAUGGAACUUAACUGUGCCUUUGUGUUCAAGUGUUGUAGGAAACCCUGGGACACGCGUAGGAUUAGGAGACUGGUGAGCUUCCUUAUGGGGUGAUCAUAGUCUGGUAUUUUCACCCAGGUCCCCCAAAGUCAGCAGUGACAGGUAUUCCCGGGCAGUUCAGUUUCUCCAGAGAAUAGAAAGCUGCUCCUCCGACCGCCUGCCCGAGGGUAGAUGCCUAGCUUCUGGGGGAGAGGCUGGGGCAGAGGCUGGGGCAGGCUCACCUGCCAGGUUGCAGAUUCUUGCUUAAUCUGUUGUUCUUAGGGCUUCGUUGCUGCGCUCCCCACUCUCAGGCUUCCCUAGUUCAUUAUCCGGAAAACAAACUUCCUGCCAGUCUCCUGCCAGGUUGGGGAAAGGGUACCCAUCGGUGGGAAUCUGAGCAAAGACUACCUCUCCUUACAUAGAUUUUCAAAAUCCCCUCCCUGUCGUCAGCCCCCAUUCCCCUGGGCUCACUCCCACCUUUCCUAUCUCAUGCCCCCCCCCACCUCCUGCUCCUGUGCUUGCAGGGUAGACCAGCUCCCUUCCUGCUGGUACCCUCUACCUUCUGGCAUUUUAGACUAGAGCUUUCUCUUCUCUGCUGAUCAUUUCUUGUUUCCCUGUCUGCUUCCCAUCUUCAUGUGUUGUGGUUUCAGGUUACAGAUACCUCCUCCCUUCAUCAGUCUUGGGGUUUUAUUUCAGGAUUUUGUUUUAUAUUGGAGGUGAUUUUCAAGAAGAGAAGGAGGGUGCAAUACGUCCUCACUUACCCAUCCUGAAACCAUAAAUCUGACCCUCAGACUGAUAGCCCAUAAUCAGCCUCUCCCAUGAAUUCCAACAGUAUAUUUGAGAUCUAUACUUGGCUGUUUUAAUAAACAUCUCAUCUUUAUCAUCAACAAGACAUGAUUUCUUCCUCUCCCCU